UCCCGAAGUGGGGAAUAACUGUUCGAAAGGGCAGCUAAUUCCGCAUGAGGUCCGUCAUUCGGUUGGCGGAUGAAAGGCGCAAGUCGCUUUGGGAGGGGCCCGCGGCCGAUUAGCUAGUUGGUAGGGUAACGGCCUACCAAGGCGAUGAUCGGUAGCUGGUCUGAGAGGAUGAUCAGCCACACUGGCACUGCGACACGGGCCAGACUCCUACGGGAGGCAGCAGGGAGGAAUAUUGGACAAUGGGGGCAACCCUGAUCCAGCGACGCCGCGUGGGCGAUGAAGGUCUUCGGAUCGUAAAGCCCUUUUCUGAGGGAAGAGGAAGGACGGUACCUCAGGAAUAAGCCUCGGCUAACUACGUGCCAGCAGCCGCGGUAAAACGUAGGAGGCUAGCGUUAUCCGGAUUUACUGGGCGUAAAGCGCGUGCAGGCGGUGUUCUAAGUUGGGCAUAAAAUCUCCCGGCUCAACUGGGAGGGGCUGUCCAAUACUGGGGCACUUGAGGGUAGGAGAGGGAAGUGGAAUUCCCGGUGUAGCGGUAAUAUGCGCAGAUAUCGGGAGGAACACCAGUGGCGAAGGCGGCUUCCUGGUCUACACCUGACGCUAAGACGCGAAAGCUAGGGGAGCGAACGGGAUUAGAUACCCCGGUAGUCCUAGCUGUAAACGAUGGAUACUAGGUGUUGGUGGUAUUGACCCCACCAGUGCCGAAGCUAACGCGUUAAGU
rnacentral:rRNA from 1 species